AAUGAACGCUGGCGGCAUGCCUAACACAUGCAAGUCGAACGAGACCCUCGGGUCUAGUUGCUCACGGGUGCGUCACGUGUGGGAAGCUUGCCGUAGGUUUGGAAAACCCCUCCGAAAGGGGUGCUAAUACCGGGGAAUGUCCUCGGACACAAGAUCGAACGCGGUUGGAUGGGCCGGCGUUGGAUUAGCCAGUUGGUAGGGUAAAAGCCUACCAAGGCGACGAUCCAUAGCUGGUCUGAGAGGAUGGUCAGCCACACUGGGACUGAGACACGGCCCAGACUCCUACGGGAGGCAGCAGUGGGGAAUAUUGGACAAUGGGCGAAAGCCUGAUGCAGCAAUGCCGCGUGAGUGAUGAAGGCCUUAGGGAUGUAAAGCUCUUUUACCCGGGAUGAUAAUGACGGUACCGGGAGAAUAAGCACCGGCUAACUCCGUG
rnacentral:rRNA from 1 species